AGCUCCAAUAGCGUAUAUUAAAGUUGUUGCGGUUAAAAAGCUCGUAGUUGGAUUUCUGCUGAAGACAACCGGUCUGCCCUCUGGGUGAGCAUCUGGUUUGGAUUCGGCAUCAUCUUUGAGAACGUAGCUGCACUUGACUGUGUGGUGCGGUAUCUUAGACUUUUACUUUGAGGAAAUCAGAGUGCUUCAAGCAGGCAAAUGCCUUGGAUACAUUAGCAUGGAAUAAUAUUUUAGGACCUUGGUUCUAUUUUGUUGGUUUCUAGAAUUGAGGUAACGUUUAAUAGGGAUAAUUGGGGGCAUUCGUAUUUAACUGUCAGAGGUGAAAUUCUUGGAUUUGUUAAAGACGGACCAAUGCGAAAGCAUUUGCCAAGGAUGUUUUCUUUGAUCAAGAACGAAAGUA
rnacentral:rRNA from 1 species